rnacentral:rRNA from 1 species
GAUGAACGCUAGCGGCAGGCCUAACACAUGCAAGUCGAGGGAGAGGUUACCUUCGGGUAACCAAAACCGGCGCACGGGUGCGUAACGCGUAUACAAUCUGCCUUUCGCAUAGGGAUAGCCCGAAGAAAUUUGGAUUAAUACCUAAUGGUAUAUAAGAGCGGCAUCGUUUUUAUAUUAAAGCUACGGUGGUGAAAGAUGAGUAUGCGUUCUAUUAGCUAGUUGGAGAGGUAACGGCUCCCCAAGGCGACGAUAGAUAGGGGUUCUGAGAGGGAUGUCCCCCACACUGGUACUGAGAUACGGAGCAGACUCCUACGGGAGGCAGCAGUGAGGAAUAUUGGACAAUGGUCGGAAGACUGAUCCAGCCAUGCCGCGUGCAGGAUGAAGGUCCUAUGGAUUGUAAACUGCUUUUGUAAGGGAAGAAUAAGGAGUACGUGUACUUUGAUGACGGUACCUUACGAAUAAGCAUCGGCUAACUCCGUG